AUACGGAGGGUGCAAGCGUUGUUCGGAAUUAUUGGGCGUAAAGCGCGUGUAGGCGGCUUGGAAAGUCGGGUGUGAAAGCCCGGGGCUCAACCCCGGAAUUGCAUUCGAAACUGCCUCGCUAGAGUCUCGGAGAGGAGGGCGGAAUUCCCGGUGUAGAGGUGAAAUUCGUAGAUAUCGGGAGGAACACCAGUGGCGAAGGCGGCCCUCUGGACGAUGACUGACGCUGAGACGCGAAAGCGUGGGGAGCAAACAGGAUUAGAUACCCCAGUAGUCC
rnacentral:rRNA from 1 species